AGCGAACGCUGGCGGCAGGCUUAAUACAUGCAAGUCGAGCGCCUGUUAGCAAUACAGGAGCGGCAGACGGGAGAGUAACACGUGGGAACGUGCCCUUUGGUUCGGAACAACACAGGGAAACUUGUGCUAAUACCGGAUAAGCCCUUACGGGGAAAGAUUUAUCGCCAAAGGAUCGGCCCGCGUCUGAUUAGCUAGUUGGUGGGGUAAUGGCCCACCAAGGCGACGAUCAGUAGCUGGUCUGAGAGGAUGAUCAGCCUCAUUGGGACUGAGACACGGCCCAAACUCCUACGGGAGGCAGCAGUAGGGAAUAUUGGACAAUGGGGGCAACCCUGAUCCAGCCAUGCCGCGUGAGUGAUGAAGGCCUUAGGGUUGUAAAGCUCUUUCGGCGGGGAAGAUAAUGACGGUACCCGCAUAAGAAGCCCCGGCUAACUUCGUGCCAGCAGCCGCGGUAAUACGAAGGGGGCUAGCGUUGCUCGGAAUCACUGGGCGUAAAGCGCACGUAGGCGGACUCUUAAGUCAGGGGUGAAAUCCUGGAGCUCAACUCCAGAACUGCCUUUGAUACUGAGAGCCUUGAGUUCGGGAGAGGUGAGUGGAACUGCGAGUGUAGAGGUGAAAUUCGUAGAUAUUCGCAAGAACACCAGUGGCGAAGGCGGCUCACUGGCCCGAUACUGACGCUGA
rnacentral:rRNA from 1 species